CAGUCGCCACGGGAAUACGGAGGGUGCAAGCGUUGUCCGGAUUCACUGGGUUUAAAGGGUGCGUAGGUGGGCAGGUAAGUCAGUGGUGAAAUCUCCGGGCUUAACCCGGAAACUGCCGUUGAUACUAUCUGUCUUGAAUAUAGUGGAGGUGAGCGGAAUAUGUCAUGUAGCGGUGAAAUGCUUAGAUAUGACAUAGAACACCCAUUGCGAAGGCAGCUCGCUACACUAUUAUUGACACUGAGGCACGAAAGCGUGGGGAUCAAACAGGAUUAGAUACCCCCGUAGUCCCUGUCUCUUAUAC
rnacentral:rRNA from 1 species